AUUGAACGCUGGCGGCAUGCUUUACACAUGCAAGUCGAACGGUAACAGGCCGCAAGGUGCUGACGAGUGGCGAACGGGUGAGUAAUGCAUCGGAACGUGCCCAGUCGUGGGGGAUAACUACUCGAAAGAGUAGCUAAUACCGCAUACGAUCUAUGGAUGAAAGCGGGGGACCGUAAGGCCUCGCGCGAUUGGAGCGGCCGAUGUCAGAUUAGGUAGUUGGUGGGGUAAAGGCUCACCAAGCCAACGAUCUGUAGCUGGUCUGAGAGGACGACCAGCCACACUGGGACUGAGACACGGCCCAGACUCCUACGGGAGGCAGCAGUGGGGAAUUUUGGACAAUGGGCGCAAGCCUGAACCAGCAAUGCCGCGUGCAGGAAGAAGGCCUUCGGGUUGUAAACUGCUUUUGUACGGAACGAAACGGCUCUGGUUAAUACCCGGGGCUAAUGACGGUACCGUAAGAAUAAGCACCGGCUAACUACGUG
rnacentral:rRNA from 1 species